UUUGAAAUCUGGCCCCCGGGUCCGAGUUGUAAUUUGCAGAGGAUGCUUCGGGCGAGGUGCCUUCCGAGUUCCCUGGAACGGGACGCCAUAGAGGGUGAGAGCCCCGUCUGGUUGGACACCGAGCCCGUGUGAAGCUCCUUCGAAGAGUCGAGUAGUUUGGGAAUGCUGCUCAAAAUGGGAGGUAUAUGUCUUCUAAAGCUAAAUAUUGGCCAGAGACCGAUAGCGCACAAGUAGAGUGAUCGAAAGAUGAAAAGCACUUUGAAAAGAGGGUUAAAAAGUACGUGAAAUUGUUGAAAGGGAAGCGCCCAUGACCAGACUUGGGCCCGGUGAAUCACCCGGCGUUCUCGCCGGUGCACUUUGCCGGGCACAGGCCAGCAUCAGUUUGGCGCGGGGGACAAAGGCUUCGGGAAUGUGGCUCCCUCGGGAGUGUUAUAGCCCGCUGCGCAAUACCCUGCGCCGGACUGAGGUACGCGCAUCGCAAGGAUGCUGGCGUAAUGGUCAUCAGCGACCCGUCUUGAAACACGGACCAAGGAGUCGUCUUCGUAUGCGAGUGUUCGGGUGUCAAACCCCUACGCGGAAUGAAAGUGAACGCAGGUGAGAGCUUCGGCGCAUCAUCGACCGAUCCUGAUGUUCUCGGAUGGAUUUGAGUAAGAGCAUACGGGGCCGGACCCGAAAGAAGGUGAACUAUGCCUGUAUAGGGUGAAGCCAGAGGAAACUCUGGUGGAAGCUCGCAGCGGUUCUGACGUGCGAAUCGAUCGUCAAAUAUGGGCAUGGGGGCGAAAGACUAAUCGAACCUUCUAGUAGCUGGUUUC
rnacentral:rRNA from 1 species